rnacentral:lncRNA from 10 species
GGGGACUUCGUCAUUCUUUCACCACCUAGUGGGCACUUUUGUGUACUGCGAGGUGGGGGAGAAAAAUGUCCAUGUUUGAGCCUGAUCCAGGCCGAAAGUAGAGAGAUGUGGGCAGAGAGAUGCCCCUUCUGGUGCCCCUGUAUCCGUGUUUUUGUCUGCUUGCACAGAGCUCCUCGGAGAGCCUUCCUGGAGAAGGCAGCAUUUGAGCUGAGCAAUGAAGACAAUAUGCUUUGGAAUGGUAGGAAUGCGAGAGGGAGAAAAGGCAUUUCUGGCAGAACAAACGGUGAGCAAAGGCCUGGAGGCUGGAGCGCGUCGGCAUCGCCAAAGGGAGGAGAAGCAGCAGCAGCUGAGAUGGGCAGUGGAAGACCUGGUGAGCAGGAAGUACAGGAUCGUUUUGAAUUCAGCAGAUUUUGAAUAAUGCCAGAUCAGGAGUGGAUCUCUGGGGUAAGAUGCAAUGGUCCCACACACUUAUAUGUCACCAGAGUCCACUCUUUGGGGAACAGCAAUUUGACGGAACAUGUCAAGAGCUUGUGAAAAUAAGUAAUUCACAUUCGACCUGUUACCCAGAAAAAAACCGGGGUUCAUUCACCUGGUGAAUCUCAAACGGCUCUCCACGAGAACGCAGGUUUGGAUCAGUAGGAGUUUUAUGACUCGCCACAGAAUUGAAGAACACAAGUAUCUGGCAUGAAGAAAAUAUCCUACAAGUUUGCAGAGAAAAAGUGGAUUUCAUACAAAGGAUCAUGGAUCCGAAUGGCACUGGAUUCUUUAACAGCGUCAGUGGGAACCGGAACAUGAUGGAGGAAUAUGUUCAAAAUUCUGAAAGAAAGAGUUUGUAGUUAAAUUAGUGACGAAAAUUAGUAAACCAAGCCAAUGGUAAAAACGAGACAAUUGGGCCGGGUAGAGUGGCUCGCACCUGUAAUUCCAGCACUCUGGGAGGCUGAGGCUGUGGAUCAUCUGAGGUCAGGAGUUUGAGACCAGUGUGGCCAACAUGGCAAAACCCCAUCUCUACUGAAAGUACAAAAAUUAGCUGGGCUUGGUGGCGCGUGCCUGUAGUCCCAGCUACUCAGGAGGCUGAGAUAGGAGAAUCACUUGAACUUGGGAGGUGGAGGCUUCAGUGAGCCAAGACUGUGCCAUUAAACUCCCGUCUGGGGGACA